AAUCUUCGCAGCGGAAAUAAUAAUUCAUUAGAAGAGUUAAGUAGAGAAUGCAAACUACUAUCUUCUAUAUAUGAAUUUAAAAGUUCAUCAUCGAUAUUUUAUCCCUGUAACAUCAAUCAAUAUAUAUCUGGAAUCAAAUAUUCAUCUUUGCACUACAGGCCAAAGAUAUUCAUCAGUUGGUCAUGUUCAUCUAAACACAUGUUCAUCUUUGCACUACGGGCCAAAGAUAUUAAUCAGUCGGUCAUGUUCAUCUCAAUACCUGUUCAUCUUUGCACUACGGGCCAAAGAUAUUCAUCAAGAAAUCAUUCAUAUUUGCACUACAGGCCAAAGAUAUUCAGUAAU
rnacentral:lncRNA from 1 species